rnacentral:rRNA from 1 species
AACGAACGCUGGCGGCAGGCUUAACACAUGCAAGUCGAACGGUUGUAGCAAUACAGCAGUGGCGCACGGGUGAGUAACGCGUGGGAACGUGCCCUUUAGUUCGGAUAACGUCGGGAAACUGACGAUAAUACCGGAUACGCCCUUCGGGGGCAAGAUUUAUCGCUAAAGGAACGGCCCGCGUUAGAUGAGGUAGUUGGCGGGGUAAUGGCCUACCAAGCCUACGAUCUAUAGCUGGUCUGAGAGGAUGAUCAGCCACACUGGAACUGAGACACGGUCCAGACUCCUACGGGAGGCAGCAGUGGAGAAUAUUGGACAAUGGGCGAAAGCCUGAUCCAGCCAUGCCGCGUGAGUGAUGAAGGCCUUAGGGUUGUAAAGCUCUUUUAUCCUGGAAGAUGAUGUCGGUACCGGAAGAAUAAGCUCCGGCUAACUUCGUGCCAGCAGCCGCGGUAA